ACAGCAUGUGGACCGCAAUGUGAAGGUUUAAUUGAUAACCACCUAAUGGCAUGAAAAAGUGUUUCCGCCCGGUCUCGAACCGGGGACCUUUCGCGUGUUAGGCGAACGUGAUAACCACUACACUACGGAAACUGAUUUAAGUAUCGACAAACAAUGAUUGUGACCACAACUACACUACCCUUAAUAGCCAGGUUCGGUGUCCUUCAACAACUUUGAUGACGUUCAUCUGGGUCAUAUACGCUGGGAACAAAACAAGUCGAAACUGGGAGGGACAACCUGAAGAUUGCCCAAUAAGAAAAACAUGCAAAACAUUUUUAAAUGUUUUAUGUUAUGUGCCCUGAACAUGACCAUGAUAUGCCUAAUGAUUUUUCUGAAAGACCCCGAGACACUCGGCACUACACUUGGCCACAGCAUUGCCUACUUACCUCACUCAAUAGGUGAUGGUGAGUGUUCUCUGGAGGAGGUGACUGUGAAGGAUGUGAGGAUUCUGCCAAACAUUGACUCCUCCUACCUGCCCAUGAUGCCAGACAGGAUAUGUGAUGCUUGUCGACAACGUGUGGUAUGACUGCGUGUGGGAGGGGGCUGUAUACGGAAGUUUACAUAUACCUUAGCCAAAUUCAUUUAAACUCAGUUUUUCACAAUUCCUGACAUUUAAUCAGAGUAAAAAUUCUCUGUUUUAGGUCAGUUAGGAUCACCACUAUAUUUUAAGAAUGUGAAAUGUCAGAAUAAUAGUAGAGAGAAUGAUUUAUUUCAGCUUUCAUUUCUUUCAUCACAUUCCCAGUAGGUCAGAAGUUUACAUACUCAAUUAGUAUUCGGUAGCAUUGCCUUUAAAUUGUUUAACUUGGGUCAAACGUUUCGGGUAGCCUUCCACAAGCUUCCCAUAAACCCCAGUGCUUCACGGUUGGGAUGGUGUUCUUCAGCUUGCAAGCCUCCCCCUUUUUCCUCCAAACAUAACAAUGGUCAUUAUGGCCAAACAGUUAUAUUUUUGUUUCAUCAGACCAGAGGACAUUUCUCCAAAAAGUACGAUCUUUGUCCCCAUGUGCAGUUGCAAACUAUAGUCUGGGUUUUUUAUUGCGGUUUUGGAGCAGUGGCUUCUUCCUUGCUGAGCGGCCUUUCAGGUUAUGUCGAUAUCGGACUGUUUUUUCCUGUGGAUAUAGAUACUUUUGUACCUGGUUCCUCCAGCAUCUUCACAAGGUCCUUUGCUGUUGUUCUGUGAUUGAUUUGCACUUUUCGCACCAAAGUACAUUCAUCUCUAGGAGACAGAACGCAUCUCCUUCCAGAGCGGUAUGAUGGCUGCGUGGUCCCAUGGUGUUUAUACUUACUUGCUAUUGUUUGUACAGAUGAACGUGGUACCUUCAGGCGUUUGGAAAUUGCUGCCAAGGAUGAACCAGACUUGUGGAGGUCUACACAUUUUUUUUUUUUAGGUCUUUGCUGAUUUCUUUUGAUUUUCCCAUGAUGUCAAGCAAAGAGGCACUGAGUUUGAAGGUAGGCCUUGAAAUACAUUUACAGGUACACCUACAAUUGACUCAAAUGAUGUCAAUUAGCCUAUCAGAAGCUUCUAAAGUCAUGACAUAAUUUUCUGGAAUUUUCCAAGCUGUUUAAAGGCACAGUCAACUUAGUGUAUGUAAACUUCUGACCCACUGGAAUUGUGAUACUGUGAAUAAGUGAAAUAAUAUGUCUGUAAAACAUUAUUGGAAAGAUUUCUUGUGUCAUGCACAAAGUAAUGUUCUAACCGACUUGCAAAAACUAUAGUUUGUUAUAAAGAAAUUUGUGGAGUGGUUGAAAAACUAGUUUUAAUGACUCCAACCUAACUGUAUGUAAACUUCCAACUUCAACUGUAUGUGUGUAACUGUUUUAUUUGUGCAUUGUGUUGACUGGACAAUGUUAGUACCCUACAUUAGAAGUUGGUGUCCAGUCAUAAGGCACGAGUACCUCACAAUCCUUUUGACUGUGAUCCUGCUCAGUUGACAUGCCGGUAAGUGAAAUCAAACAGCUGAUCGAAAUGUCAUGUGAACAAAUGUUGCAGACAAUACAUUCAAGGGUCACUAUGGAGGAGUUGUUUCCUGACUCAAAAGGAAUACCCUGCUGUCUCCCUCUGAGAAUUAAUGGUGACAGGCAGCCCUAGGCAGCCCUAAGAACAGUUUUCAAACCCCUUUCCAUUUUCUCUACCCUCCUGCCCAUCCCUUUCCCCUUCUUCACCUCCCCCCUCUUCCAGGUCAUGGACAGAGUGAGGAUGCAGUGUUGGGGGCUGUAGUGUGUCACUCCCCCUCUGUAACCUGGGCAUCUGUCGGAAAGGUUGAACUCUCUCCUUCAAUGUCACCUUCCAGAUAUUCAAGGCAGGAGGACUCUAUGAGAUACGGUACACACAGGAUGGGGAAACACUGUGUGUGUGCGCGGGUGUAUUUGGGUGUGUCUGGUGAUACAUUUUUUGUAGUAAUAAUCAUUAUUAUUGUCAUCCUUUCUCUCUCUAUAGCUGAGUCAACAUAUGAAGCUGCAGUUUACAGCAGAAAGAACAGGAGAUAUAUAAGGUGAAUGGAGGGAGAGGAGUGUUGACAAUUGGAGAGGAGAAAAAGAGAGCGAAAGAUGCAGAUAGAGAGAAAUGAGUAUGAAGAUGAGGGCCUAAGAUCUAAAUUGAGGAUGAGGCAGAAGCCACAGUAUUAUCUAAAUGUAACUGAUUUGAUCUCUAACACUCAUGCUGCUACUGAUGUGUGAACUAUAGAAGUAGUUUAUUCUAUUUCUAUGGUCAGAACAACAAACCUGUUGGAGUGUGAAGAGAACCCAUGUGAAACCAUGUCGCCUCUGUGAGGUGAUUAUUCUACAAUGUAGAAAAUAGUACAAAUAAAGAACACUUGAAUGAG